AGUGAACGCUGGCGGUAGGCCUAACACAUGCAAGUCGAACGGCAGCACAGUAAGAGCUUGCUCUUACGGGUGGCGAGUGGCGGACGGGUGAGGAAUACAUCGGAAUCUACCUUUUCGUGGGGGAUAACGUAGGGAAACUUACGCUAAUACCGCAUACGACCUACGGGUGAAAGCAUGGGAUCUUCGGACCUUGCGCGAUUGAAUGAGCCGAUGUCGGAUUAGCUAGUUGGCGGGGUAAAGGCCCACCAAGGCGACGAUCCGUAGCUGGUCUGAGAGGAUGAUCAGCCACACUGGAACUGAGACACGGUCCAGACUCCUACGGGAGGCAGCAGUGGGGAAUAUUGGACAAUGGGCGCAAGCCUGAUCCAGCCAUACCGCGUGGGUGAAGAAGGCCUUCGGGUUGUAAAGCCCUUUUGUUGGGAAAGAAAAGCAGCAGGUUAAUACCCCGCUGUUCUGACGGUACCCAAAGAAUAAGCACCGGCUAACUUCGUG
rnacentral:rRNA from 1 species